CCUACGGGAGGCAGCAGUGGGGAAUAUUGGACAAUGGGCGAAAGCCUGAUCCAGCAAUGCCGCGUGAGUGAUGAAGGCCUUCGGGUCGUAAAGCUCUUUUACCAGGGAUGAUAAUGACAGUACCUGGAGAAUAAGCUCCGGCUAACUCCGUGCCAGCAGCCGCGGUAAUACGGAGGGAGCUAGCGUUGUUCGGAAUUACUGGGCGUAAAGAGUACGUAGGCGGUUAUUCAAGUCAGAGGUGAAAGCCCGGGGCUCAACCCCGGAACUGCCUUUGAAACUAGAUAACUAGAGUCUUGGAGAGGUUAGUGGAAUUCCGAGUGUAGAGGUGAAAUUCGUAGAUAUUCGGAAGAACACCAGUGGCGAAGGCGACUAACUGGACAAGUACUGACGCUGAGGUACGAAAGCGUGGGGAGCAAACAGGAUUAGAUACCCUGGUAGUCCACGCCGUAAACGAUGAUAACUAGUUGUUCGGUCACUUGGUGACUGAGUGACGCAGCUAACGCAUUAAGUUAUCCGCCUGGGGAGUACGGUCGCAAGNUUAAAACNCAAGAUGACGNNGNGANGCGAGCGACACGAGGAGAG
rnacentral:rRNA from 1 species